CAUAAUUUCAAUUUUCAUUUUAGAUUCUGGAGGUACAUGUGCAGGUUUGUUACAUGGUUAUAUUUUGUGAUGCUGUGGUUUGGGAUACAAAUGAUCCUGUCAUCCAGCAGUGAGCAUAGUAC